AGUUUAUAUAAUAUGCAUAAUGUUAAUAUUUAUUAAUAUUUCAGGGACAAUGGGAGUCAUGAAUAUGGAGAGACAAAACUAGAAUGAACCCCAAGGUGCUGCAUCAGAAUUGAAGAACAGAAGUGGCCCUGUUUCGUGCCCAGAGCAGAAGAGAACGAUGAAGAGCUCUGCUCUCCCAGGUCUUCCUGGUCUGUGUGUGUCCAGGUUUUGAGGGCCUCUCACAUACACGGCUCUGGACCACCCUUCCUUGAAGCAGCAUGACCCAUCUGGAUGUCCUCCUCAUCUCAGGAAUUUUCUAAUAAGCUGUCUAAAUCCAGAGAUCCGACCACAGAACAAUGAAUGCCAAAGAUGAGUUCUAAAGAUGCGAGUACUUUCUUUCUAAACGGACGCUGCUUUGUGUAUGGCUCUGCUCCUGGGGGCAGACGCGGCAGGCUAAGCCCUGCGGAGGAGGAGCAGGAGACAGGGACCCAGAGAAGUGAAGAGGCGUUGCCUUAGGUUGCACAGCAGAUGACGCCUCUCAAGAUGGACCCUAGGUUGUCUGACUCCGUCUCACAGCUUUGCCCCAUUUAUCAUGAAGAUGAACGCUGGUAACACUGCUACCUACGAGCUGAGCUUGCACGCACAUUCCUGGUGUGUACAUGCAUGCGUGCACGCUCACGCAAUGUGCUAAGUGCACAGGAAGGAGACCAGAGCCCUGAGGCGUUCUUUUGAAGUCUAAGUACUGGUGUUUCGAAAGUUUAAUGAAACCUACUAGACUCUGAGCAAAAUUCGUUUUACGUUAACCUUAAUGAAAAGUUUAAUUAAGUUCUGACA
rnacentral:lncRNA from 1 species